GUGCUCGCCUCGGCAGCACAGAUACUAAAAUUGGAACGAUACAGAGAAGAUUGCAUGGCCCCUGCGCGAGGAUGACACGCAAAUCCAUGAAGCGUCCCACAUUUAU
ensembl:snRNA U6 U6 spliceosomal RNA